rnacentral:rRNA from 1 species
GACGAACGUUGGCGGCGUGCUUAAUACAUGCAAGUCAACUGAAGCAGUGGUAGCAAUAUCGCUGUGGAGGUGGCGCACGGGUGAGUAACACGUAGGUAAUCUGCCUUCAGGUCUGGCAUAACUCCGGGAAACCGGGGCUAAUAGCAGAUGAUGCAGCGGCUCGACAUCGAGACAGUUGUUAAAGCUAUGGCGCCUGAAGAUGAGCCUGCGUCUGAUUAGCUAGUUGGCGGGGUAACGGCCCACCAAGGCAACGAUCAGUAGCUGGUCUGAGAGGAUGAUCAGCCACACUGGAACUGAGACACGGUCCAGACUCCUACGGGAGGCAGCAGUAAGGAAUAUUGCUCAAUGGGAGAAAUACUGAAGCAGCAACGCCGCGUGAGGGACGAAGGGCUUUUGCUUGUAAACCUCUGUAGUGAGAGAAAAAAAUCCCAAUCUUUGGGACAUGAUGGUAUCUCAAAAGUAAGCCCCGGCUAACUACGUG